CUUGAUGUCUAUUUUGUCUAAUAUAUGUAUGACUACACCCACUGUAUUUUUGUGUCUGUUUGUUUGGAAUAUCAUCUUCUAUUCUUUCACUUUGAGCCUGUAUGAGUCUUUAGAACUGAAAUGAGUAACCUACAUGCAGAAUAUAGUUGAGUCUUGUUUUGUUUGCUUGUUUUUUUGUUUGUUUGUUUUUUCUGUCUAGCCAGUCAUUCUGUGCUUUGAAUUGGUAAAUUCAACCCAUUUACAUUUAGGGUGAUUAUUGAUAUGUAAGCACUUACUACUGCCAUUUUAUCUUUUGCCUUCUGGUUAUUUUGUUUCUUUUUCAUUAUGUUCCUGUUUACUUUUAUAGUUGUUGGUUUCAAGGUGAUUUCCUCAGUCUCCUCUUUUUUGUUUUUUGCCUCUGCUCUGGAUUUUCACUUUGUGUUAUUUUUAAUGCUCUUUUCCAGUAACCCUAAGCCAUAGUUAAGAGUUUACUACUCUAAGAAAAUAGUUAUGGUGUUUUAAUUUUGACUAUCAUAUCAAUCAGUUUUGUAUAUUUCAUCUUUUUGUUUUAGCUCUAAAAGCUCUUUUUGAAAUCUCUCUUAAGGCAGGACUAGUGAUAAACUCACUCAGCUUUUGAUUGUCUGAUAAAGUCUUUAUUUCUUCUUCAUAUUUGAAGGAUAACUUUGCCAUCAGGUAGAGUAUUCUUGGCUAGCAGUAUUCUUGGCCAGCAGUUUCUACCCUUCCAAUAUUUUGAAUAUCAUUCCACUCUCUCCUAGCCUACCUAGGAGAGAGUUUCUGCUGAGAAAUCUGCUGAAAGUCUAAUGGGGAUUCUUUUGUAGGUCACUGUCCUUUUUUCCCAGGCUGCCUUUAAAAUUUUUUAUCAUUGAAUUUUAUCAGACUUAACAUAAUGUGUCUUGAAGAGAGUCUUUGCUUUGUAAUAAUUAGAUAUUCUAUUAGCUUUGUGGAGUUGUAUUUCUAGUUCCUUCCUCAGGUUUGGGAAGUUCUCAACUAUUAUUUCUUUAAAUAUGCUCUCUGCUUCCUUCUUCUUAUUUUCUUUUCAUUGAUACCCAUUACUCUUAUGUUGGCUUUUCUAAUGGAGUCAGAUCAUUCUUGUAGUGUUUAUUCACUUUUUAAAAAUCUUAGUUUUCUAUUCCACCUGAAUCAUUUAUAUAUUUCUAAUCUUGACCUCACUUAUUCUCUCUUUCAUCUGAUCUGUUCUAUGCCCAGUGCUUUCUAAUGCUUUCCUCAUCUCAUUUAUUGAUGAGGAAGCUCCAGAAUUUCUUUUUGGUUCUUCUUAAGGAUUUCUAUCUCUUUGGUAAAGUACUCUUUCUUACUCCUUCUGUUCCUUAAUUUUAUUCCUGAGAUCAUUGUAUUGCCUUUCUGAGUUUUCAUGUAGCUUGUUCAAUUUUUUCAUGACAGUUAUUUUAAAUUACAAUAUUCCAACUUUGGGUUUAGUUGAUGGAAAAUUAUCCCUUUUUGUGAUAUCAUAUUAGCAUGGCUUUUCAUGGUAAAGGAUAGAAGUGUCCCUGCUGCCUUACUUAAAAUAGUGAACAUGUUUUGAUUUAGGCAGGUCUUUGUUUACUUUGAUUCUAAUAAUUCAACAGGUUGGUAGUAGUUGGGAGCCUUCCUUUUGUGUUCCAGAAGGUGGCACUGUAGCAUAAGUUUUUGGUUUCUCUUAACCUGACUCACCACUAAGGUUGGGAGUACACUAAUUUUAAAAAAUAAAAAUAAAAGCAAUGUGUGGUAGCACGGUUGGGCGAGGGGGAUACUUAGCAUUAGCACUUGUGGCUUUGGGUGUGCCUACAGCUUGUAAGGGGUCUUAAAGUGAGGGAACGAAGGGUCCCAGAGGCCCAAGGGCAUUUCCAUUGCCUCCCUAGGUCAAACAACAGGAGAUGUUUUCCUGUGGUUCUCUUUGUCUGCCAAUUUUCCUUUCCUUUCCUUCCCCCUAGACAGUGUGGUCACUCUUCAGAGAAGGCAACUUGUCCCUCCAGCUGCAGUGCAAGUAGCCAGGCAGAUCUCCACUUAACCACCUUCACCCUCUGCCUCUUCUGCCAGAAAGGUCAUGCUGGCUCACUGCUGGACUGGCUGUCACCUUCUCUGCCAUCACUGCCUCUGCCACCACUUCCCUUGCUAUGCAAUCUCCUUGGGGUCCAAUCCACCCAUUUUGGGGUGUUCUGAUAUGCUGUACAGAGGAACUUUUAUUUGGUUAUUUGGACAUUGGAUGUUUAAUUUGUCGUAAGUCAAAGAGCAGAGAACAAGGGAAUGACUCAUGUUGCCAUGAUGCUGACAUCAGUCUUCACCCAUUAUCUUUUAAAAGUACCGUACCUCAUAUUUGUAUUCCAUUUUUUUCAAAGUACCAUACACCAUGUUUGCAAAUCUUAAAUAUAUCCCUUGUCAUAUAAAAGUAAAGCAUUAUCAACUCCUCUUUUGCUUACCUUAUCAUAUGUCUGUAAAUUAAAAAUUGAUUUGUAUCUGUAGUUAA
rnacentral:lncRNA from 1 species